CUAAUUACACAUCUUUGCCUCCUGCUGUGUUUUUCUACAUACCCCUUUUAAGCGGACACCCCUUUUAAGCGGACACUUAGGCGAAGUCCCGAAGGUGUCUGACUGUAUCUCAAAUCUGACUAGGGGUUCGACUGUAUCUCCAAUUUGGUGGUCCAGUGCAGGUAGUAUUCUACAAUAAGCUGUCGUGGUUUGUGUCUGAACUACCUGAAAAAGAUAUCUCAAACGUAUCUCAAUUUGUUGCCAGGUGUCACAAAUUUGCAGCAGACUUGUUACAAGACUCAACACAUUUGUUACAAGUUGUUCCAAAUGUUCAAUUGGCAACCUUGCAACAACUUGAUAAAAAUAAACCAUUACAGCACUGUCACAACGUUCACAAGCUUGCUAGAAG